GAAGAGCCAGAUCUCGGCAGGCUGCUGGGCAGGGGAGGUGGGAAAAGUAAACCAGUGUGCAGUCGGGGAGUGGGAUGAUAUAGACUAUUGUGUUCAGACCUCACCUGUGCCCACUGUCUCCUCUUGUGGCAGGGCAGGGCACUAAAGGAACAACAGGCAGAAUGCUGCUUUUCUAGUGUUCAGAAUGGCUAGUUCAGGUUUACUUUUCUGGCUUAGUUUGGACAAGCUCCUGUUAAUCAAGCUGUGGGAUGGAACUUCCGGGGACAGCAAAAGGUGCUAUUUUCCCUCCUGCAGGAACUCUCUUCAAAUUGCAAAAAGUACAAGUUACCCCCACAGAAUGCUGGGAAUCAUGCUUGUUACCUUCUUGCUUCAAUCCUCUAGUGUAUUUGGUAAGCACUUUAGAAGCCUUUAAAAUAGUACUCUAAGGCCAGGUAACGUGGUGUGCCUCUAGUCCCAGCUACUAGGGAGGCUGAGGCGGGAGGAUCACUUAAGCCCAGGAGUUUGAGGCUGCAGUGAGCUAUAUUAUACCUAUGAAUAGUCAACACACUGAAGCCUGGGCACCACAGGAAGAUUCUCUCUCCACAAAAAUUAAAUUAAAUUAAGUUAUUUUAAAGAGUGCUCUAAGCCAUGGGUGGGCGUGGCUUGCCUUUUCAAGCUAGGCUCUAUCUUUAUAUAAAUGAAUUGAGCCACGCCUCAACACCCCACUAUCCCCAAUCAGCUUUUCAGAGUUAUCACAUACACAUACACACGCGCACGCGCGCACACACACACACACACACACACACACACAUUCUUUUUAGCCUUGGAGCACAGGUAAGGCUGGGGAAGAAAGAUUUUGGGAAGUCUGAUUGUGUAUGAUUUUUGCUCCUAAUAGCUACUUUUAAUUUAACACCUAUUCUCUGCCAGACACUUUGCAUGUACUAUUUCUCCUCCACAUAACUGCCCUUAAAGGAUAUUAUUAUCUCUAUUUUACAGAUGAAAAAAACUGAGCUCCAGAGAACUUAAGUAACUUGUACAAGGACAUAAGAAAAUAAUAAUCUGAAACUUGGAAAUAAGCAAAAGAAGAAUGACUGCCGGCAUCUCUUUUUAGUAUCAUCAGAAGCUCUACCUAACAGGCCAUCCUACUUCCAAGGAUUAUUUAAAUCUCUAGGGAGAGUACCUUUGAUUAAUUAUUUCUUAUGAUUAGGGCCUAUAUUCUGUGAAAAUACAGAGUCCAAGUUUUAACUUUGUAGAUUAUUAAAUUAUAAAUUGUAUUUCUCCCAUAGAGAUGCAAAUUAUUUCUUUCUAUUAUAAAAGAUAAUCCCAAAGGUCAUAAUUUUAUCGACCAGUAAGACAUUACCCAGUUUUAUAUCUAACAAGCUCAUUUCAACUUUUUUUUUCUGAUAGGAUAAAUAAAUACCCAUUUUCCCCUCCCUCCCUCCCUCCCUCCCUCCCUUCCUUCCUUUUUUUUUUUUUUUUUUUUUUUCCGGAGUCUCGCUCUAUCUCCCAGGCUGGAAUGCAAUGGCAUGAUCACAGCUCACUGUAGCCUCAAUCUCCAGGCUCAAGUGAUCCUCCUGCCUCAGCCUCUGUAAGUAACUGGGACCACAGGCACAUGCUACAAUGCUCAUGCCACCACGCACAACUAAUGGAAAAAAAUUUAUAGAGAGAGGCCUUCCUAUGUUGCCUAGGCUGGUCUCAAACUCCUGGGCUCAAAAGUGAUUCUCCCACCUUGGCCUCCCAAAGUGCUGGGAUUACAGGUGUGAGCCACUAUGCCCAGCCAGUAAAUGCCCAUUUUCUUUUCUUUUCUUUCUUUUUUUGGAGACGGAGUCCAGCUGUAUCGCCCAGGCUGGAGUGCAAUGGCGUGAUCUUGGCUCACUGCAACCUCUGCCUCCCAGGUUCAAGUGAUUCUCCUGCUUCAGCCUCCGGAGUAGCUGGGAUUACAGGCUCCCGCCACCAGGCCUGGCUAAUUUUUGUAUUUUUAGUAGAGAUGGGGUUUCACUGUGUUGGCCAGGCUGAUCUCAAACUCCUGACCUCGUGACCCGCCUGUGUUGGCCUCCCAAAGUGCUGGGAUUACAAGUGUGAGCCACCGUGCCCGGCUGACCCAUUUUCAAAUGCUAUUAGAAUCACCUUUGCCAUCUUAUUUGUUCCCUCAUUAAUUAGUUAAACAAAUAUUUUACAUGAGCUCAUUAUAUGUUCAUAUGAGGGUGAACGUAAAGAAUUAUGAAGGGUUGAAGGUUUUACCCUACCUGUAAGUUAACAAGUUAGCCUGUCAUGGUUUAAUGGAUGCUGGCAGAAGACAUGAAACUCCUGGGUCAGAGACAAAGGACUUUAUGAUGAAUGGUACAGCAAGCAACAUGAACACCAGUGUAUUUGUGCCAGUUCCCCUUUCCUCUGCAAGUCCCAUAAGGGUGAUGUGGAUAGACCUAAGUAGAUGCCUAUACAUUCAGUGUGUCACAUUAUACUAAACUUAAGGAACUUGAAUCUUUUAUAAUGUUUAGUAAGCCUGAUUCCCCUUUUCUCCAGAGUGAGACACUAUCUCUACCUUCCAAAGCUAUUUGUUAUGUAAACAUCCUUGUAAGGGCAGCUUGGAACAAAGUACCUUGCUUGUAAGAUAUAUAGAAACUUAAGAGACCCAUGGAGAAUUAUCUCCCAACAGCCAAUUUUAAAAAAUUAUACCCUGGCCAGGGUGUAACAGCCUGUAAAUGACCACGCCUGGAUACUUCCUGGCUGCAAUGUCUGGGCUGUUUCCACCGUACUGAGAAAACCCAAGUCCCACUGCAUGUGACCAACAAAAGAAUCCCCCACUACUAUUAGCUCUUUGUAUCUUUUCCAACCUAGGGUGGAAGUGGCCUUGGUUUGAAAAAGAUGCAUCAAAGCACAAAAAACGUGGUAAUUAAUCAGUUUUAUUUCCAAAGCCCUACAUGUCUUGAGAUGCUUAAAAUACUUAUUGUGAUAAAAUUUUAAUAGAACCCUAAAACUACAAAAACUUUAAGGCAAUUAAAACACUAGUCUGUGAGCAAUUUAAGAGCAGGGACCAUGUUUUAUUUGUUUUUUGAAUCGUUGGAACCUAACACAGUGUCUGGUACCUAGUAGGUGUUCACCAAAAUUUUUGUCGAAUUAGUGAAUAAAUAAAUUAAGAGGGAGGAACACUCCUGUUUACCUCUUUCUUAUCCAGUUUCUCUUUGGUCCUUUCCUCUUCUAGAAAACAAAGCAGAUAUCUGUUGAACUCAUUUAUGCCCUUUGCUUCAGCUGCUUGUUCCAAUAACUUAUUCCAUAUGUUUAUUUCCUUUAGUGUGAAAAGAUUUGGCUCAAGUUUUCUUUUUUAUUUAUAGUUUCCUGAGUUUUCAGUCCUGUCCCUGCUCGCCUGUUCCCUUUCCCAUACACACACACCCGGGAGUGUGAAGGAGCAAGUGCCGACAGCUACAACCGCGAUUCAGAGGUUCUUGAAAGGGUUGCUGUUGUUUCUGGACAGUCAUCCUGGGCGGCUGUCCCCAGGCCAGCGAGGCCGACUGCUUAGCCUGCAGCCUGGGCCGCACUCCUGAGACACUCUGCCCCCAUCUGACUGGCCACGUGCCCUCUCGCUCCUCAGAUGGGAUCUCACUUGGUUGCCCAGGCUCGACUCCAACUCCUGACCUCAAGGGAUCCUUCUGCCUCAGCCUCCUGAGUAGCUGGGACUACAGGCACGUACCGCUGUGCCCGGCUUGAAUUUAUUUAUCUUAUCACUGAAACUUUGUCCCCUUUGACCAGCAUCUCCCAUUUCCUCCACCCUCAGCCCCUGAGUGUCACUCUGUCACCCAGGCUGGAGUGCAGUGGCACAAUCUCGGCUCACUGCAACCUCUGCCUCCCAGGUUCAAGCGAUUCUUCUGCCUCAGCCUCCCAAGUAGCUGGGACCACAGACACUGUGGGAGGCUUGAGGCCCAUGACAUCAAUUUAGGCAUCCGGAGAAGGUAGGAGGCAGGGGAACAGGUAGGGGGAAGGUGUGGGGCCCUGCGUGUCUUGAAUGUCCCCUCCAAAGCUCAUGUUGAAACUUAACUCCCAAUGUGGCAGUAUUGAGACGUGGGGCCUUUUGGAGGUGAUUAGGUCUUGAGGGCUUUGCCUCCAUGAACGGAUUAAUCCAUUCAUGGAUUCAUGGAUUAACCAGUCCGUGGAUUGAUGGGUUAUUAUGGGACUGGAACUGGUGGCUUUGUAAAAAGAGGAAGAGAGUCCUGAGCUGGCCUACUCAGCUCCUCUGAUGUGACACCCUGCACCACCUCAGGACUCUGCAGAGUCCUCACCAGCAGGAGGCUCUCAUUAAACGUGGCCCCUCAGCCUUGGAAUUCCCAGCCUCCAGAACUGUACAAAAUAAAUACCUUUUCUUUUUAAAUCAUUCAGUUUCAAGUAUUCUGUUAUAAACAACAGAAAAUAAACUAUUACAGAAUCAUGGUGUGGAGAAAAAAAAUAACAAAAAGAAAAUGGACUAAGACAGACUCCACUGGAGAAGUAGUAGUUUUUAAUUGCUAUUAACAUAGGUCAGGUGUGGUGGCUCAUGCCUGUAAUCCCAGGAAUUUAGGAGGCUGAAGUGGAAGGAUUGCUUGAGGUCAGGAGUUCAAGACCAACCUGGGCAACACAGAAAAGCCCUGCCUCUACAAAGAAUUUUUAAAAAUUAGCCAGGCAUGGUGGCAUGUGCCUGUAGUCCCAGCUAUGUGGAAGGCUGAGGCGUUUAGCCACUUGAGCCCAAGAGUUCAAGGCUGCAGUGAGCUAUGAUUGUGCCACUGAACUCUAGCCUGGGCAACAGAGCAAGACCUUGUCUCUAAAAAUACAUUUUUUUAAAAAUUAUGAAAAUAGUGUGGGCAUGGUGGCUCACACCUGUAAUCCCAGCACUUUGAGAGGCUGAGGUGGGAGGAUCACUUGAGCCCAGGAAUUCAAGACCAGCCCAGCCAACGUGGUGAGAGCCCGUCUCUACAAAAAGUUUAAAAAAUAAUGAAAAUAAAAUAAUUAAAUAAUAAUAAUAAUAAUAACUAUAAAAAAAUUGAAAACAACAACAAUUCCUCACAGUGGGUAUCCUUUAAGCUGGAACAAAAGGAGAAGAUGCUAUGGUCUGAAUGUGUCCCCCCAGAAUUCAUGUGUGGAAGCAUGAUCUGCAAUAUGGUGGUAUUAAAGAGGAUGGGGCUUCGGGAGGUGAUUAGGUCAUGAAGACGCAACCAUCAUGAAUGGGAUUAGUGCUUUUGUAAAAGACAUCUGAGGGAGACUGUUUGCCGCUUCCACCAUGUGAAGGUGCAGGAAGGAGGCACCAGCUAUGAGGAAGAGGCCCUCCCCAGACGCCAGAAACUGCUGCACCUUGAUCCUGGACUUCCCAGCCUCUCCAACUUGGAGCAAUACAUUUCCACUCUUUAUAAAUGACCCACUCUAAAUUAUUUUGUUUUAGCAGCCCAAAGAGACUGACAGAGAGAAAAGUUUGAUGAACAGUUUAAAGUGGGGAAUAAGUAUAUUUUUGCAGAGAACUGUAAGGAGGGCAGCCUGUCUAAGGGGCAGGUAGGAGAUGGCAAGGAGGAUCUUCCUAGGGAAGGGUCAGGGAAAGGUGAGUGUCAGGCUGGGACAAGUGGAAACUAUGGAGUGUUCUUAGUUUGGGGCUGACAGUAAAAGCUGUGGAUCAGGAAGUGAAGUGCAUCGGUGCCCAGCAACCUCUUCUCACCCUAAGUUUUACCUGCUUUAAUGUCUCCAUGAAUAUGGUCCUAGGGGCAAUAUUGUUACUACCUGCUGUGCACAGUGUCUCAUAUAAACAAGGAACUUCCUUCGUCUAUGUUUGAAGUUUAUUUUGCAGGUAAUAGUGGGUUGGAUAUCCUGACCUCCAGGAGUUCACAUUCUUCAAUGCUUCAGGGUGGUCACGGCAAUUCUAUUAGGGUAUCUGUUCUCCACGACAGAUAUUUUUAGCAACAGAUAGCCUGAAUCCAUUCAAAGAAUGCACCUGUUGAUGGGAAUCCAGAUCUGGCAACCACACACUUUAAUUUCAAGAGUGCUCAAUCAGAGUGUGUGCUAGACUGUGGGACAGGACAGAAAGUCUACUGACUUCAGGCUCAGGCUCACAACAGCUGUUUUCCAAAAUUGGUAACAUGAAAGUGCUUCUAUUAAUGUGGAGAUUUUGGUUUGAUGGAUUCGUGGAAAUGAUCUGAUACAAAAAAGCACAAUUCCCUUCCCUCUCCCGUUUCUGUCUUGUCUUCCUCCUUCCUGCCCUUCCUCCCUUUCCUUAGCAAUAUAUUUUUUUUUUUUUUGAGACAGAGUUUCACUCUGUCACCCAUGCUGGAGUGCAGUGGCGUGAUCUCAGCUCACUACAACCUCCGCUUCCCAGGUUCAAGCAAUUCUCCUGUCUCAGCCUCCUGUGUUGCUGGCACUACAGGCACCUGCCACCAUACCUAGCUAAUUUUUAUAUUUUUAGUAGAGACAGGGUUUCACCUUGUUGAUCAGGCUGGUCUCGAACUCCUGACCUCAGGUGAUCCACCUGCCUUGGCCUCCCAAAGUGCUGGAAUUACAGGCGUGAGCCAUUGCGCCCAGCCUUCCUUAGCAAUAUUUUCUUUCUUUUUAAUUUCUCUUUUUUUUUUUUUUUUUUUGAGACCAAGUCUCGCUCUGUCACCCAGGUCUGCUCACUGCAACCUCUGCCUCCCAGAUUCAAGCAAUUCUCCUGCCUCAGCCUCCCGAGUAGCUAGGACUACAAGCACACGCCACCACGCCCAGCUAAUUUUUGUAUUUUUUUUUUUAUUAGAGACGGGGUUUCACCAUAUUGGUCAGGCUGAUCUUGAACUCUUGACCUCAUGAUCCGCCUGCCUCGGCCUCCCAAACUGCUGGGAUUACAGGUGUGAGCCACCAUGCCCGGCUGCAGUAUUUUCUAAAUGUCUCAUCUUGGAUUUGUUUUUACAGUGACAAAGAAGCCAAGCAAAGUUUUCUUCCUCUAUUAAAUGCAUAUUCUAGAAGGGAAGACAAACAAAUCAUAAACAAACUAGUAAAUAAUACAGUUUCAUAAAGUGAUGAAUGCUGGGAAGAAAGGGAGGCAGGAUAUGGCAGUGACCAGGGCCUGGAGGUAUUUUUAUUUCCCGUUUGGUGGACAGGGGAAGCACUCUGUGGAGGUCACAUCUGAGCAGAGACCUGAACUGGUGGCCGUGAUGGGAGUUUGCGGUGGAAAGCAUUGCAGGAAGAGGUGGAAAAGAACAAGCAUUGCUCUUUGAACAGCAUGAAGAUUGGGGUGGGUGGAGAGGAGGGGUCAAGGAGCAGAAGUGUAGGAUGAGGAGAAGCAGCCAGUAGCUAGAUCACCAGGGACUUGUAGGCUACAAUAAGGAUUUCAUAUUUUAUUCUAAGUGCAAUGGGAAGCUAUUGGUAGGAAUUAAGCAGGAGAGCAAGGCAAGCUGACUUACAGUUUAAGAAUACCCUGGCUGCUCUUGGAGAAUAUUCUGUAGUGGAGAAAGAAGGCUGUAGGAAGACCAGUGGCUUGGCUGUUGUAGAGUACAAGUGUAAGCUGAUGGUGGUCUGCAGUAUGGAGAUGGCAGUGGAAGCGGGGAAAGGUGGUAGGGAGGGCUCAGUAUGUGUUUUAAGAGAUCGAGAAAGGACUCAAUAAUCGUGGACUGGAUGCCCAGUAGGACAGAAAGAGAGGGGUCAAGGAUGACUCCUAGGUUUGUAUUUUGAGCAACUGGAUGAUUUAUGGGGCAAUUUUCUGAGAUGAAGAUGAUCGGGAGAGGAGACGGUUUAGAUUGGAAAAUUAAGAGCUCUGUUUUUAUAGUUUUAAGUGACUAUAUAGAAUAUUAAAAAGAUACAGCUGUCUGGAAUUUAAGAUAAAGAUCGGAGCUGGAAAUAAACUUUGGGAGUUACCAGCGUGUAGAUGGUAUUUAAAGCCAUUGAUCGAGAAGACAUCACAUGGGGAGGGAGGUGCUUGCCCUGAGGAAGAGACUGAGCUCAGAGACACUCCAAUAUUUAAUGGAUGAUGUUAAGAAUGAGAUGCUAACAGGGAAAAUUGAGAAGGAAUGGCCCGUGAAAUAGGAGGAAACUCAGAAGGGCAUGUUGUCCUGCCCACCAUAAUGUUUCAAAGAGGAACAAGUGUCAAAUCCUGCUGGGAAUAAACUGAGGACAGAUAAUUGAAUACUAGAUUCUACAUCAUGACCCUAACAUGAGCAGCUGCAGUUGAACAGUGGGGAUGAAAUUCUGAAUGAAAUGAAUUAAAAAAGUAAAGAAGUGGAGACAGCAAGUAGCAAUAGUUCUUUCAAGUUUUGCUGAGAAGGGGAGAAAAAAUGGGGAUGUAGGGUCAAGGGUGGAUUUUUCAAAUAGG
rnacentral:lncRNA from 1 species